CCGAUGGAGGGGGAUAACUACUGGAAACGGUGGCUAAUACCGCAUAACGUCGCAAGACCAAAGAGGGGGACCUUCGGGCCUCUUGCCAUCGGAUGUGCCCAGAUGGGAUUAGCUAGUAGGUGGGGUAACGGCUCACCUAGGCGACGAUCCCUAGCUGGUCUGAGAGGAUGACCAGCCACACUGGAACUGAGACACGGUCCAG
rnacentral:rRNA from 1 species